rnacentral:rRNA from 1 species
UGGGGAAUAUUGGACAAUGGGCGAAAGCCUGAUCCAGCCAUGCCGCGUGUGUGAAGAAGGUCUUCGGAUUGUAAAGCACUUUAAGUUGGGAGGAAGGGCAUUAACCUAAUACGUUAGUGUUUUGACGUUACCGACCGAAUAAGCACCGGCUAACUCUGUGCCAGCAGCCGCGGUAAUACAGAGGGUGCAAGCGUUAAUCGGAAUUACUGGGCGUAAAGCGCGCGUAGGUGGUUUGUUAAGUUGGAUGUGAAAUCCCCGGGCUCAACCUGGGAACUGCAUUCAAAACUGACUGACUAGAGUAUGGUAGAGGGUGGUGGAAUUUCCUGUGUAGCGGUGAAAUGCGUAGAUAUAGGAAGGAACACCAGUGGCGAAGGCGACCACCUGGACUAAUACUGACACUGAGGUGCGAAAGCGUGGGGAGCAAACA